rnacentral:lncRNA from 1 species
AAUCGUGAAAUCCUAUAAACACACACAAAAAUCGAAACUUUGAAGAAGAAAUGAAAAAAGGAGUUUUUUUUAGCUCUUGUGGAAUAAAUAGAGAUAAACCCAGAAAGAGGAGGAAGCUAAGAUGAGCACGAUGCAGAUGGUAUCGUCAUCAUCAUUAACAACCAAAAUCGAUCAGUCUCUGUGGAUUCGCCAACACAACAAAUCUUGAUUUUUCUUCUUCUUCCUCUGUUUUUUAUUUUAGAGAGAGAAGAGACAGACCCGACGGAGUAAACGCCUGUCCUGGAUGGAACCGUGGAGACUUUCCUCCGUUACUUAACGGUGACGAUGAUUGUUUAUUGGUCGCUUCUUUCUUUUUCUUUUUUUCUUUUUUUCUUUUUUUGUGUGUGUUGUUUAGAGAAAUUUAUGAAAUAUGUUAAAAUUUUGGUGAUAAGAAAAGCAUAUAAAAGAUGGAUUUUUUCAGCCAAGGUUGUUUGGAUUUGUGGUAAAUAAAAAUUCCGGCAAUAGUUCGUCUUCGUGACGGCGUUUUGCUGGCUUUCGUUUCCAACAUCGUUUGAUUUCCUUAACAGUGGUGUUUGGCUUGCCGUCCGGUGUGGUAUCCGGCUUUUGUCCGACAUAUAUUAGCUAUCACAGCAAUACAUGAUCGGCUCUUGUCUAGCAUCGUCGACUCUCUUAGCGGUGAUGGCUAGCUUACGGUUCUACCCAGCGUAGUCUGGUUUUCUCCUUUUUCUGUUUCAGCUUUGUUUCUUUUCCGGCGUGUCCGGAUUUAUUUUCUUUUGAGUUUAUAUCACGGUUUCUUUCAAACCGUUGAUUUGUGUGUAAAAACUCAAUAGGAUUUGUGUGUUGGUGAUGGCAUUUGUGGCGAUUUUCUGCUCAAAAUGAUCUAAAAAUUCCAAUCUAUCAUUUGGGUUUGAGGUUUACGGAUGAUGAUUAGGCAAUUUGCGAUUUCAGUUGAAGAUUCAAAGUUCAUUCCUCAGCUUAUUACUAUUGCCUUUAGCUGUAUCUUUUAUGUUAAGCUUCGAUUGGUUUUAGUCAACAGAGGUGGAUUAAUAGGAGAUCUUAUUCUCUUUUGAGAUUAAUGGAUCUAUAUUAGAUCCUUACUUCUGUUUUGCAGUUGUUGGAGAAAUACAAAAACAUCUAUCUUCGAUUUUCAUUCGAUACUAGUUUCAUUCUCCGGCGGAAUCGAUGGCUUCAACGGCGAAGGACGAUGACGGAAAACUUUUAGUCUCCUCAUGUUACACGUAUCUUUGAUGUUGACACGUGUCUUGAGAUAUUUUCAUUCGAUCUAAUCUUCUUCUCUAAGUGAUGCAAUGUUGGGCCAGUUGGAUUUAUUUAGUCUCUGUAAACCGUUGUAUGUUGUUGGGUUUUUGCUCGGUAGCUGUUUAUAAUGUUUAUAUCAAUAAAAUCUUUUCUUGUGAAAAAAAAAAAAGAUUUGUGGUAAAUAAAGAACAACAACAUAUUUAUGUCUACAUCGGUUAGUCUAAAAUGUCUUUUAUCUUUGUGGUCUUAUAUGUUUCUUAUCACCUUUUCCUCCAUCAAACAAAAUUUCAUGAAUUUGAUUAUUCUGAAUUUUUUGUUAGAACAUGUAAUUCAUGUGACUAUUUAUGUGGUUAAGGUCUCUACUAUAAUUUAGAGUAACCCUAACCCCUAGCCCCUAGGCCUUAGCUGUACUACAUGUUAUUUAGAUAGAGUUCUACAUACAAACAUUGUAUAUCUUAUUAUAUGAUUUUGAUUUGAUACCGAUCAUAAACCAAUGAUGAGAAGUAGCAAAAAAAAUAUCUAGUGAUUUAUAUUCAUCACUAUUAAACUAUAAACUCUUCAAUUUUUGAUCAAAUUAUGGCGAAGAUCUUUUACUCUCUUUAGGUUCAAAAUUCAUAUCACAACUUUUCAAACCAAAAAAAAAACUCUUUGUUGUCAUAGACUCAUAGGUUGCUAAUUAUGCAUCAUAGAUUUUAACAAGUACCUCAUGUAAAACCAAAAUUUAGAAAUUAGAAUCGUGCACCGCUAAAAAGUGAAAUCCACCGUUAGUCUCCAAUAUAUCUCAAAGCUGAAAUCACUGGCCCAUUUAGUUUGCGACCCAAACCAAGAGACAGAAUAAGUGGAAAUAAAGAAUAAAAAAUUUUGGUGGCACCGACAAACCACCAAAUUUCCAACCACUACUCCUAUGUAAAACCAUCAUAACAAAACACCAAAGAAGAUCCUACUUCAUCUCUCAUUGUAUUUAAAAAUCUAAAAUGAAGAUACAUGACAAUUUGAUUAUGAAGACAUGCUAUCACAAAUUUUUUUUUAAAAAAAAAACCUUGUUUGAAAAAUCGCUAGGCGUUAGUCGGGUGCUCGGUAUGGGCCUAGCGAUUAAUCGGAAAAUCGGAUUAAAAUCGGAAAUUAAUCGGGGACUAGUUUUAGGGUUAUUUUAAUAAUUUUAAAACAUAUUAAUCUAAUAUUGUUUUCAAAAUUAUAGUAAAUAUAUAAAAAUGUAUUUUUGAGACAAAUUUUUAUGAUUUUUAUUAAAACAUUAUGAUUUUUAUUAAAAUUUGAACAUAAGUUAUUGUAAAACAUCACAAACUCUCAAUACAAAUGAUUGAAUAACAAAAAUAAAAAGUUUUUUUUAUAGUUGCAAUCUAAAAAUAAUCGGAAUAUGUAAGGUUAGGCAGGGAGUAAUCGGAUUAUGCGGGAAGUAAUCGGAUUAGGCGGAAAGUAAUUGGGUAACAGAUUAUUUUAGGGGAUUAAUCAUUAAUCGAGACGGAUAGGAUGGGCCUAGCGAUUAAGCGGGGAGUAAUCGGAGUAAGCGGGAAUUUUUUGAACAAGGAAAAAAACCAAUGAAACAAUUUUAUAUUGUUUUACAAACAAACAAAAAAAGUCUUAAAAGACUAUGCUAGAUUGCUAGGGUAGUUAAAUAAUGAGGAAAGUGAUUGUUGCAUUUGUUCCUCAAAUUAUACAACCUGUAAGUGAAUAGUGAAUACUACUAAAUUGUCGUUACAAAUAACAUUUGGAAGACCUAUUGCUUGCUAGUAGUGGCCAAUUUUAGUUUUUGUAUAUUCACUCACUUUAACAAAUAUAUAAUUUUGACCUUUAGCCGGAGGGAAAAAAAACCAAGCUUAGUCAGUAAGAAGCAAGCACUUUCCAUUAUUAUCUCUCUUCCCCCACCACAUUUCAUAUUAACAUAAUAAUAAUGUUCAAUAAUACAACAACAACCUUCGGCUCCGGCGCCGGCGUCGUCGUCGUCCCACCUCCCGCCGUUUCAAUCCCCACCCCCGUCUUCCCCGGCACCACCAUCACUUCCAAUUCCACCUUCAUCAUCAUCGGACCUCCACCACCGUUCCCAGCUCCUCCACGGAGCAUCGACCUUUCUCCUCUCAAACUAAUCUUCGCCGUCAUCGCCAUCGUCGCCGUUCCCGCUUUAGCUUACGCUCUCUUCUUCACCAUCCCCUGUUCCUCCUCCCGCCGCAACUCCUCUUCAUCUCGCCGCAGCAGCACUUCCUCCGAUGAUACACCUCACGUCACCGUCGACAUCACCCCGCCGAUCACAUCCGAGACCACCGUAACUCCUGACUCCGGCGGGACAAUCCAAAACGAUACACAUUCCAAGGAGAUCGGAAACGAGUGCACCGUGUGUCUCAUGGUGUUCACCGACGGCGAUGAAAUCCGGCAGCUUAUCGAGUGUAAGCACGCGUUCCACGUGUCGUGUAUUGAAGAGUGGCUUAAGGAUCAUCCUAAUUGUCCCAUUUGCCGAACUGACGUCUCCGUUAAACAACAGACCGAAGCAGCCAACGUCACCGUUAACGUUAACGGUAACGUGAAUCGCAGCGGCGGAAACCGUCGAGUUUCAGCGACUAAUAAUAAUAGAGAUGACGAUUGGCGUCAAGGUCUACCUGAUGCUUCUAGUUUAGUUUGAUUUUUUAUUUUUUUUAAAUAAUUUAUUUCUCGAUUUCCUUUUUUCCACAAAUUUUUUUAAGAUAUUUCUGUAAACAAAUUACGUCAAUUUUGAAAAAAUUAUGUCCGUUAAAUUUAUUUAUUCUUAUGUAAUUGAUUGCUUCGUAACUCCGUAAGCAACUGUGAGCGUGUCUGUGUGCGAUGUGAAAUCUGACGUUGACUCAUAGUAAGCUCAUCUAACGGUGUAUAAAGAUCUCAUACUAAUCGGACGGUUAUUAAUUAAUCCACGUCUUCUCGUCAAAACGACAGCGUUUUGAUCUUCACCAACCGAUUUUUUUUUUUUCAAAAUUAAAAAACAAAACUUUCGUCUUCUUCCCGGCUUUACUCCUCUUUCUCUCUCCACCGUCGGCUCAGAUCUAGAUGAACAUGUUCCGGUGAAAUCGUAAUUGUAUGAUCAAAUCAUGAAAAGAUCUCACAUUUCUUCUCCUCGUUCUUAUUCUCGACCAGCAAUUUCAAUCUUGGGUGUUUUCCUCUUGUUUAUUCUGGGUUUAACACUAACUUCUCGAAAACCAUCAGAUUCAUCCUCCGGUUUAGCUCCAAAUCGGAACUUAUCCAGAACAUCGAAGAUUCCGAGGUUUGCGUAUUUGGUAACGGGAACGAAAGGAGAUGGGAAACGAGUGAAGCGGCUGCUUAAAGCGAUACACCAUCCGAGAAACUACUAUCUUCUUCAUUUGGAUCUCGAAGCUUCAGAUGAAGAGAGAAUGGAGCUGGCGAAGUAUGUGAGAUCGGAGAAGAAGAAGUUUGAGAAUGUUAUGGUAAUGGGUUCAGCUGAUUUGGUUACGGAGAAAGGUCCAACGAUGUUAGCUAGUACGCUUCAUGGUGUUGCGAUUUUGUUGAAGAAAGCUAAGGAUUGGGAUUGGUUUAUCAAUCUUAGUUCUUCUGAUUAUCCUCUCAUGCCUCAAGAUGGUAACUUUGGUUCAAUCUUUAAACCAAUUUUUAAAACCUUAAGCCAAUGUUAGUUUGGUAAUGAUAAGUUCAAUGGAUAUUCAAAGUGAAAAUGUUCUUGUUCUGUAAUUUAAAAUCGAAUUAGGGACUUAAGAUUCUGCUUGUUAUAUAGAUUAUAUGGNNNNNNNNNNNNNNNNNNNNNNNNNNNNNNNNNNNNNNNNNNNNNNNNNNNNNNNNNNNNNNNNNNNNNNNNNNNNNNNNNNNNNNNNNNNNNNNNNNNNUUUUUAUAACUCACGUAGAUUGUUAACCCGUGAUAUACCGCGAGAUAAUUUAUUUUUAAAGUUAGUAUAAAAACAUCUUGUAUGUAUCUCUUUAUAAAAUAUUUAUUUAUAUUAUAAUUUUUUUUUGACAGCAUUUAUAUUAUAAUUUACAAUUGUUAUUAAGUAAAGAUAUACCACGAGUUCACGAGACAAUUAUUAAUAAACUGAGGAUUUAACUCGUAUUAAAACGGCAUGUUAAUGAUAUUUAGAAAUAUUGAUUCAAAUUCGUCCGCCAUAUAAAUACGUUCCGAAAUAUAACUCGUUCCGUAAUUUCUUAACCCGUCCCGUGAUUUGUUUUUAUUAUAAAAUUUAAUGAUUAUUUAUUAUAUAUAAAAGUUUACAAAUCAUAUCAUUAUCUAUGUCAUUUAUAUUUUAAUAAACCGAAGAUUUAAUUUAUAUUAAAGCGGAAUGUUAAUGAUAUUUUAAAAUUAUAAAAAUAUUGAUUCAAACUCGUCCACCAUCGUUUCGAAAUAUAACCUCUCCUGUAACUUCUUAACCCAUCCCAUGAUUUGUUUUCUAAAAGUAGUAAUUUUUAAAAUUUAACGAUUAUUUAUUAUAUAUAAAAUUUUGCAAAUUGUAUCAUUUUCUAAGAUAUUUAUAUUUUAUAGUUUACAAUUGUUAUUAAGUAACAUUAUACUACUGAACAAUUUUUAGUUUUAUACAAUCUUUUCUAAAUGAGAUUCAUUUAAUAUGUCUAAUAUUAGUGGUAUUAAAAAAAAUGAAGGAUUUAAUCCGUAUUGAAACAGCGGAUAAUGAUAUUUUAAAUUUUUAUUAUUGUUGAUUCAAAAACCCGUUCCGCCAAACCCGUCCGGCCAGAAAAACUCAUUUGUUUUAUUAAUGUUGAUCUUUAUUUUGAUAUGAUUAUGAAUUGCCUAAAUAUUUUAAUCGAUGUAGAACGUUGAACACACAUUUUCUUCAAUUGGAUAAUGUAUGUCCGUUUUCUAAAUUUCGAAUCACAGUAUAUGGAGAAGAAAAAAAUGAUUUUUUUUUUACUUUAUGUAUUAUAUGAUGAUUCAAAACAGUUAAAAACAAAUCAAACAAAGAUGAUAGAAGAAUAAUAAUUAUAAAUCUUAAUCAAAUCUUUUAAAUAUCUAAAUUAUUAAAUAUGGAAUAUCCAGUGUAUGCGUUGGGUUAAAUAUAACCCGACCGAACAAACUUUUUAUGACCAAAAUUUGUAAACGGAUCGGGUAUCCAAAGUACCCGAGAACAAUUUUACCCACCCGACUCAAAUUAACUGCAAAAAUAUUAGUAUAGAUUUUCAAAUACAAUUUAUGAAGAGUGGUAUAAAUAAAAUUGUGAAUAUAUCUGCAAUAACUCAUUUCAAAAAAAGCUAAGAGCACUUAGGUUAUCCGAUUUGUAUAUGCGACUCUAUAUAUUAAUGCAAUUUUAUGUGUGAAAAACAUUAGUGUGGUGUGCACAUUAUGAACAAUGAUUAAUCAUAUAUUGGAACAUCCUAAAAUGUCAUUGUCCCUAAGAAGAAGGGAGCUUCUUAAUAUCAUCUCCUAGGACUCUAGCUUCUUGAAAUCAUCACGCUGGAACCUAAAACUUAUUAAUAAUGCACCAAUUAAUAUGAUUGUAAAAUCUAAAAUGAAUAAUAUCCAAAGACAUGCAAAAUAAGAGAAAGGCAAAGGAAGUCUACCACCUCCUAAGGUAGACAGCGCUAGUUUAGCUUUCUUGGCAGCUGCAAGUAAUCAUUAUGCAUCAGUUAGUGGCUUUGAUAAUUAAACUAUUUCUCUUUGUGAUUCUACUUCCAUUUAGGUAAAUUAUCCAAAACACAUCAAAAGAAUCAACAUGAGACCUUACCUAUUUUUGCGUAAAACCUAUUAAGAUAUUCAUGAACACAAUCAAUCGGAAUUGCGAAUCCAAAUCCUUGUUGAGCGAUAUAUUGUCCAAAGUAAGGUUUUCCAUAUGAACGAAAUUGCAAUCCAAUAAUCUGACCAGCAAGAUUAACAAUUAGUUCUUCUGAAGAACCUUGAAACACAAAAAUAAAAAUAUAAAUAAAUUAAAUUUUUUAAUUAUUAAUGAAACCAACAUUGAUAUGUAGUUACCGAAUUUGAGGUACAGUCGGUUUGGAAGCAAAUCAGAUUGUUGCCACUAUGAACAGUCUCUUUAAUUUAUUCGUGCGCACAAUAGAACUGUUUUGCAAAAAAAAAAAAAAAAUCAAACUUAGAAUAAUAAUAAUCAAAUUACUUCAAUAAUUAACUAAAUUAAUUCAACCUUAAAAUCCCAACACUGACAGUUCUAUUGAAACAAAGCGGAGAGCCAAAGGCGAGGGUCCAAUGUCCGGGACGAAUAUUUCUAGAACACCCGAGCUUAAGGGGUUGAUAUGUAUUAGUCUCCUCGAGUUCUACCUUGACUAUUGCAAUAUCCAAAUUUACGUUGAACUUCCUCACUCUACCAUAGCAAGUAAUUUCGACCUAUAUUAAAAAUUAUGAGUAAAUCAAUAUAUAUAAAUAUUGACCUAUACAUCAUCCAACAAAUCUCGCUUACCUCUGUUCUUUCUGAUUCUUUGGAUUUACGAAUGGGUACAUGAGUACAUCACGAUUCAAAACAACAUGGUAGCAGGUUAGGAUUAAGUCCUUAUCAAUCAACAGCUCUGAUCCGUUUGACACAUCUUUAAAACCAAGAAGACCUGUGGAACCACAUCAGAAGAGUCAACAUGAAAUUUUAUAAACCAAGAGAGAUCAAAUAUUCAAAUAGAAUUUGUUUUCUCUACCUAAAUUUUUAAUAACUCAUUUUCAAAUACAAUUUCUGAAAAUGGUAUAAAUGAAAUCGUGAAUAUGUCUGCAAUAACUCAUUUCAAGAAGAUUUGUAUAUGCGACUCUACAUUAAUAUGCAUUUUUAUGUGUGAAAACAUUAGUGUGGUGUGCAUAUUAUGCACAAUGAUUAAUCAUAUAGUGGAGCAUCGUGAAAUGUCAUUAAGCUUUUUCCUUACUAAUUUGCUCGGAAUGGGUAAUAAUAUUGACUAGUUUUUUUCAACACCAGAAACUAAAAUCUUUUUUUAAAAAACAAGUUUCCAGGAUGAACACUGUCCGUUCCAGUUGUCAUCUUGUUCCUCUUCAAAAUUGUUAACGAACUUGAUUGGGCUUAGCCAUUUUAAAGCCCAACAUUAGCUUUACUUAUGCAUGCACCUAGAAAAAUAGUAUCGGUCCACCUGUUUAUCGUACCGUUCCAGCUGUCCUGUACGAACACAAGUUUUGCAGCUGAUGGAUGAUAACUUGAUAAGUUUGGUGGAAGUAUGUCUUAGACUUAAUGAAUAAAGCACAGUUUUCAGAAUUUGCUCUUUAAUUCUGAAUUGUUGUAUCUUUUCUCUUGAACUCAAAUCCUUGUAUCUUCCUCUGCUUGGUGUGUCUAUCUUUUUGAAACUCUUCAAUCCAUAUGAUAAUGCUUCAAAUUAUAACAUUUCAGACGAUCCCUAACAAACAGCUGAGAAAUCUCAAUUCCCCAAUUAACAAACCCUAAGCGAUUAAGAUGCAGUCUCACAUUGGGCUUUGUAUUUAAAGCUUCGAUUAUCAAAAAGAAAGAAUUAAAAAUCACAUCUUUUCUUCUCUUCUUCUUCUUCCUUGUCCAUUUCUCUUCUCAAGUUCUCAACUCUGUUCUUCUACUUGUCACCUCUUUUCUAUUCUUAUUGAUAAACCCAAAUCCGGAGUCUAUCAGAAGCACAAUCCAAUCAACGAUUGGCCGAAUUUUCUCCUCUUACUCGGUAUCUUUAGUGUCCCGAUUUGGUGAAGGUAAUUCGUUCUGUGUAGAUUUUGGUGAUUGGGUCUGAUCCAAUUGUUACGAGCUUCAUAGCAUGUAACAAUUUUAGUAAAAAGUGGUGAUUUUUGUCAACUUUCUAUCCCUAUGUUAUCACUUGAGAACAUGGUGUUUCUGCAAAUACAUUGAUUACUUUAACUAGAUCAAUUGAAAUUCUGCUUCAUGUUGUUUCUGGAAAUUUGUUCUCUUGUUAGUUUCUUACUUAGAACUUGGGAAAUUCUGUAAUCCUAUCUUGUUAUGGCUCUUGUCUCAGGACACUCUUUCCUACAUAGGAAUUCAGUUAAGGUGAAAAUGGAGGACAUUGAGAACAUGGAAGAAGAUGAGUAUGGCUUCUCAAGAAACUACUUUUUGGCUAAAGAAUUGGGUGGGGCGAGUAAGCGGUCAGCUCACAAGCUCUCUGAUAUUCAUAUUGUUGAUGAGCAGGUCCUUUUUGGAUAUUUUUUCUCUUCCUAAUUAUGCUUUUGGUGAUAAAUGCUUUUUCUGGACAAGUUGAUGGAGAAACAUUGUGUUUUCAGGAGCUUAGAGAAACAGCAAUUGAAAUGAAGCACGCCAAAGAGAUAUCUGAGCUUAUGAGUGAUUACAAGACUAUGUACUCAAAGUGGGUCUUUGAGCUCAGGUGAGAAUAGCUCUUGCUUUUGACAAGCAUAUGCUCCGUUUUUUCCUAGAUACAUUGAUCUUAGAAGUUAGAAUCUGAAUUUCAACCAUGGUAGAAACUAUUUAGAGCAACAUAACAUGGUUUAUCUAUACUUAUUGAGCGUGGACCUUCUCCUGUAUCUCUAUUCUAGAAGUUAGAUAUCUAUGUUUCCAUCUGAGUCAUCAUCAUAUUUUUUUGUGUUCUCAUUUCAUGUUUCUGCUUCCAGGUGUGGCUUUGGCCUUCUAAUGUAUGGCUUUGGAUCUAAGAAAGCUUUAAUUGAAGAUUUUGCUUCUGCUUCUUUGGACUGAGUAUUCGGUUAUUGGCAUCAAUGGCUACCUCCCUUCCGUAAAUCUAAAGGCAGGGUACUCUUUUGGCAGUUUGGGAUGCAGCAAUUCUUUCUCUUGCGCAGCUCUAUGGUUCUUUCAGGGUUGGAAAAAGACUUAUUUUUGUAUGUAAUAACGAAAAUGGUCUUUGGGUAUAUUGCAAAAUUCAGGGUUCUUUUAGCUUUAGCUGAACUUCUGUCUGAGCUUUUGAAAUGGAAAAAAAAGAGUUCCGGGGAGUUUGUCNNNNNNNNNNNNNNNNNNNNNNNNNNNNNNNNNNNNNNNNNNNNNNNNNNNNNNNNNNNNNNNNNNNNNNNNNNNNNNNNNNNNNNNNNNNNNNNNNNNNAGAGUAUAUAUAAUACUGUCAAAAACAAUUUUUUACAUAAAUAAUUAUGUAAUAAUUUAAUUAUUCUAUUUUUUUAUAAUGAUUCAUGAUAGAGAUGAAACUAAAUUCGUGUAUGAAAAUAUGUAUUUAAAAUACUAAAAAAAAAUAUUUGUGAAACAACAGUAAAGUUGUACAACAACAUAAAUAAUUAAGAAACGGAUGUACUAAGCUGAGUGUUUGUUGAUUUGAUCUAUAAAUCUCGGUCUAAAUGUGUGAACCUAUGAAGCGCACAAGAUAAAACCUUAUGUACUAAGAAAAUAUACAUGUAUAUAUAUGAAACUAGUGAUAAGAAAUUUAAACCCUAACUAAAGCAAGAAAACAAAAAGAAUCAUGUCAGUCCCACCCCAUAUGGAACACAAACCCUAAUAAUUACAUAGAUGACAAUUAUCUUCUUAUAAUAUAUCUCCAUACAAAAUUAUUGUAUACACACAUACAUAUAUAUAUAUGGACAUAGAUAUAUAUAUAAAGGUCCAUCCACUUUAAAUUUUAGCCAUCUUCAUUCUCACACUCGCCCUCUCUCUCCUUUCAUUCUCAUUCUCUCUCGGCUUUGUUUUCUCUUUGAUCUGAUUCCUCUAUUCUAUUUAUCCAUCAACCACCACGCAAAAAGAAAAAGAAAAAUCUUUACUUUAAGAAUUUUGAAGAAUAAAAUCAAAAGAGAAUAACCAUGGUUUUCUCCUCCAUCCAAGCUUAUCUUGAUUCAUCUAACUGGCAACAGGUUAGUGCUUUACUAUUCCAUAUAUACACUUCACACACAAACAUUCUUCUUGGUUAGCAAUUACAUGUUCUAAAUUUGUAAUCAAACUCAAAAAGAGAAAUCUUAAUUCAAAGCAAGAAAAACAGGUGGCACAAAAAAAAAAACUUCUUCCUUUGCAAUUAGCAUGAUCCAAUUUUUGAAUCAAAUUCAAAAAGAGUACUAAUAAUAAUUCAAAGCAAGAAAAAGAAAAGACACAAAAAGUUCUUCUUGCUUAACAUGUUCUUGAAUAUUCUUGUUUAAUUUCAAUAAUUCCUGAUCCUUUUUUUUUUUUUUUUUUGUAACUUUAUAUAUAGGCUCCUCCAAGCAAUUAUAAUCAGGACGGCGUAGGAGCCCCAGAAACCGGAGGUCAUGUUCUUCGUCCUCAGCUGCAGCCACAACAGCAGCCGAAUCCUAAUGGGAGCGUAGGUGGAGGUGGAAGCGGCGGUGGCUCGAUCCGAGCAGGAUCAAUGGUGGACAGAGCAAGACAAGCAAACGUAGCCUUGCCAGAAGCAGCACUGAAAUGUCCAAGAUGUGAAUCCACCAACACCAAGUUCUGCUACUUCAACAACUACAGCCUCACUCAGCCACGCCACUUCUGCAAGACCUGCCGGAGAUACUGGACACGUGGCGGUGCCCUCCGCAACGUCCCUGUUGGUGGUGGCUGCCGGAGAAACAGGCGUACUAAAAGCAGCAGCAACAACAACAAUAACAGCACUGCGACAAGCAACAACACCAGCUUCUCCUCCGGGAAUGCAUCCACCAUCAGCUCGAUUCUCUCCUCCCACUACGGAGGAAACCAAGAAAGUAUCUUAAGCCAGAUUUUGUCUCCAGCGAGGCUAAUGAAUCCUACUUACAAUCAUCUCGGCGAUCUCACAAAUAAUACAAAAACAGACAACAACAUGAGUUUGUUGAACUAUGGAGGAUUGAGUCAAGACUUGAGGUCAAUCCACAUGGGAGCUUCUGGUGGCUCGCUUAUGAGCUGUGUUGAUGAAUGGAGAUCAGCANNNNNNNNNNNNNNNNNNNNNNNNNNNNNNNNNNNNNNNNNNNNNNNNNNNNNNNNNNNNNNNNNNNNNNNNNNNNNNNNNNNNNNNNNNNNNNNNNNNNCUGAUGAUCUGUAUUCAGCCUCUCGGGAACGCUUCUUUGUGAGCAGUCAAGUGACUUUGAACUCUCAUCUCACGGAAUUUAAAGACACGAACUGGUUAAGACCAAGAGAAACUCCGAUGGUCAAGAGUGUUUGAAUAUACCUCUUUCUUCGGAUGCACUUCGACAGCUUUUGCUUGAUCUCAAUCAGUAGCCUGAAACUGUAUCUCUGAUAUGAUUCAUUUUUAUUGCUUGAACGAGUUCACAUAUUUAUUUGAAUGUUAUAGUCAGCACUCACAGCUCUUAUUAUAUAAUCAUAAUCUGAGAUCAUAACAAUUUUCUUUCUUUAUACAAACCUCAAAUUGAAUCUAUGGGUAGGGUUGAUUCCAACACAACGUAAACAAGACUGCAAUGUGAUGAAAAUUCCCAUUAAAACAGUGAAAACGCCUAUAUAUGAGUGGCCAAUAUCAAUGAGAGAUGACUCCUAUAAUAAGCUUCUACAAACAAGAAAACUAAACAGUUGUUUCUCUUCUUAAGUCAGCAUCAGAUCAUUUCCACCGAGAUUAGGACGGAGACACACCCGCACCUCGUGCUCUUCCGGGCCAGCUCUCAGUUUCGGGACAAGUAUCUCAAGAACUGAUCCAGGUCCAUCGUAAUACGCUUCAAUGUUUGCAUCUUCCGGGAUUCGAGUUGAUAAAGGGAUCUCUCUGACAAAUUCACCUGGCGGGCAAUGCUCGGAGGCUGAAUCAGUCAGCUUGAAUGUUCUAUCAUGUCUCUUUAUGAAAGGUAUGCGCGAUGUGCUGAGGCAUGAAACUUUUAUGAUUCCGUGUGUGAGAGUGUUCCUCCACGAGACUUUAACGCUGUUCAAAUCCACAAAAGGAAGGCUGAUUAUGAUCAAGUAGCCUUCUUCGUCCUCAUAGAUCGUUUUUGCAGCAGUAACAGGUCCAUAAACGUUUUUCAUGGCGCCGCUAAACUCGUUUGACCAAGUUGGUGGCUCAUUCUGGUGAGCUUCGAUAACAGGAGGUGGUGGGUUUACGGUUAAGCAACACUCCUCCUCAUGAAUCCCAUUUGAGAACAAGUCCUUCCUCUUCUUGUGGCUCGAAGGAGAUAAAUCGGAUGCUUCACCAUUAGAAUGGUUGGAUGGUUGAGUUGAGAGAUUGAGCCCCGAUCCAUUGAGUAAUUUCUUAGAGUGGCUUGGCGUUGGAUUCUUCAAAGGUGUAGGCCUCUCAAGCUCAAAGUCAGUGUUGGGAAGGUUUCUCCACGAACCAAAGUCGCUAGCUUCAGGUGGAAUGGUGAAAUUCAAAUCGCGACCCGUAAGCUCCAUCCACCUUUUCCUCUCUUCCUCAUCUAGACACGUGAGGUUUGGCAAAGGACUAAGCUCAAUCCCAUGUACACACUGCGGAUUUGACAAACCUCUGUAGUGUUUCCUCUGCAUUCUAUGAGACCUAACUAAGCCUUUCUCAACAAACAAUUGCUACAAAGAACCAAACUACUUACAGAUAUAUAUGAGAUGAAGAAACCCAAAUCGUGAAAUCCUAUAAACACACACAAAAAUCGAAACUUUGAAGAAGAAAUGAAAAAAGGAGUUUUUUUUUUUGCUCUCGUGGAAUAAAUAGAGAUAAACCCAGAAAGAGGAGGAAGCUAAGAUGAGCACGAUGCAGAUGGUAUCGUCAUCAUCAUUAGCAACCAAAAUCAAUCAGUCUCUGUGGAUUCGCCAACACAACAAAUCUUGAUUUUUCUUCUUCUUCCUCUGUUUUUUAUUUUAGAGAGAGAAGAGUCAGACCCGACGAAGUAAACGCCUGCCUUGGAUGGAGCCGUGGAGACUUUCCACCGUUACAUAACGGUGACGAUGAUUUAUUGGUCGCUUGUUAAUUGCUUCGUAAAUGAGUAUAUUCUUUAUUAGACACCGUCAACUAUAUAUACAGUUUUCAUCGUUAGUUUUUUUUUUUUU